rnacentral:rRNA from 1 species
CCAGCAAGCCUGUAAUCCGUACGGGUUGUGGGAGCAAGAGCCCGGAGAUGGAUUCUGAGACACGAAUCCAGGCCCUACGGGGCGCAGCAGGCGCGAAAACUCUACAAUGCAGGCAACUGCGAUAGGGGAACAUCGAGUGGCAUCCACCAUGGAUGUCUGUCCAAUCGUCUAAAAAACGAUUGUCAGCAAGGGCCGGGCAAGACCGGUGCCAGCCGCCGCGGUAAUACCGGCGGCUCGAGUGGUGGCCGAUAUUAUUGAGUCUAAAGGGUCCGUAGCCGGCUUUGCAAGUCCUAUGGGAAAUCCAGCGGCUUAACCGUUGGGCUUUCAUGGGAUACUACAUUGCUUGGGACUGGGAGAGGUAGGAGGUACUCAGGGGGUAGGGGUGAAAUCCUGUAAUCCUUUGGGGACCACCGGUGGCGAAGGCGUCCUACCAGAACAGGUCCGACGGUGAGGGACGAAAGCUAGGGGCACGAACCGGAUUAGAUACCCGGGUAGUCCUAGCCGUAAACGAUGCUCGCUAGGUGUCACGGCAGUCGUGAAUUGUCGUGGUGCCGUAGGGAAGCCGUGAAGCGAGCCACUUGGGAAGUACGACCGCAAGGUGAAACUUAA